rnacentral:lncRNA from 1 species
CCAGAUCCCUUUUCCCUACUCCUCCUGACCCUGCACCUAGAGUGGUGGUUGCGAUCUGCUACCGUGACCUCAGCCCUUAUUCCAAACUGUGGCACCCAUUCGUUCCACAAACUCCACAGCUCUGGCCCAUUAGAGGAAAGAGGCCCCAGAAUAGCUGGGAAAUUACGAAAACAGCCUCACUGCACGGGUUGGUGAAUGCUGUGAUGCGAUUGUGUGAUGGACGGUGAUGUUGAAACCAGACGGGAAUGACCACCCCAUCCGGAGAGAAAAGCACCAAGGAUUCUCUUUUGUUGAAUUUGUGUUGGCAGAGUUUGGUCAGAUGAAGACUGGGUGGAGAAGUUUGCUGGGAAGAGGAUAA